rnacentral:rRNA from 1 species
GAUAAACGCUAGCGGUGCGCCUAACACAUGCAAGUCGAGCGAUCGAACUGGACUGAUCACCCUUCGGGGUGAGAGGACCAGUGACGGAGCGGCGGACUGGUGAGUAACGCGUAGCCAACCUACCCCCUUGACGGAGAUAACUACCUGAAAGGGUAGCUAAUACCCGAUAUUGCUCGAGAUCGAAAGAUCUUGAGCCAAAGGCGGUCUUGCCGUCGCAAGAGGAGGGGGCUGCGUCCUAUUAGCUUGUUGGUGGGGUAAUGGCCCACCAAGGCGAUGAUGGGUAGCUGGUCUGAGAGGAUGGCCAGCCACAUUGGGACUGAGAUACGGCCCAGACUUCUACGGGAGGCAGCAGUGGGGAAUCUUUCGCAAUGGGCGAAAGCCUGACGGAGCGACACCGCGUGGGGGAUGAAGGCUUUCGGGUUGUAAACCUCUUUUCUGGGGGAAGAAUAAGGGCGGGAGGAAAUGCCCGUCCGAUGACGGUACCCCAGGAAUAAGCAUCGGCUAACUUCGUGCCAGCAGCCGCGGUAAGACGAAGGAUGCAAGCGUUAUCCGGAAUUACUGGGCGUAAAGGGCGCCUAGGCGGCUGAGUAAGUCACCCGUGAAAGCCCUCAGCUCAACUGAGGAAUGUCGAGUGAAACUGCUCAGCUUGGGUGCAGGAGAGGAGGGUGGAACUCACAGAGUAGCGGUGGAAUGCGUAGAUACUGUGAGGUACCCCGAUGGCGAAGGCAACCCUCUGGCUGCUACGACGCUGAAGCGCGAAAGCGUGGGGAGCAAAGGGGAUUAGAUACCCCCGUAGUCCACGCCGCAAACGAUGUUCACUGGGUGUCGGUCGCUAAUACAGAUCGGUGCCGGAGCUAACGCGUUAAGUGAACCGCCUGGGGGGUACGGCCGCAAGGCUAAAACUCAAGAGAAUUGACGGGGCCCCGCACAAGCGGUGGAGCACGUGGUUUAAUUCGAUGAUAAGCGAAGAACCUCACCUGGGUUUGACAUGCUAGUGGUAGGAACCGGAAACGGGGACGACCCUUGCCUUCGGGUAAGGGAGCUAGUACAGGUGAUGCAUGGCUGUCGUCAGUUCGUGUCGUGGGACGUUGGGUUAAGUCCCGAAACGAGCGCAACCCCUGUCGUCAGUUGCCAGCGGGUAAAGCCGGGGACUCUGACGAGACUGCCGGUGAAUAGCCGGAGGAAGGAGGGGAUGACGUCAAGUCAUCAUGUCCCUUAUGCCCAGGGCGACACACAUGCUACAAUGGGGGGUACAAAGGGCUGCAAUGCCGUAAGGCUGAGCCAAUCCCAAAAAACCUUCCUCAGUUCGGAUUGAGGUCUGUAACUCGACCUCAUGAAGCCGGAAUCGCUAGUAAUCGCAGGUCAGCCACACUGCGGUGAAUAUGUACUCGGGGCUUGUACACACCGCCCGUCACACCAACCGAGUGGGGGGUACUUGAAGUCGCUCUUUAUAGAGCGCCGAGGGUAACCUCCGCAAGAGGGGUG